CUUGGCGACCAUAGCGUUUUGGACCCACCUGACUCCAUUCCGAACUCAGAAGUGAAACGAAAUAGCGCCGAUGGUAGUGUGG
rnacentral:rRNA from 1 species